UACGUAGGGAGCAAGCGUUGUCCGGAAUCAUUGGGCGUAAAGCGCGCGUAGGCGGCCCGAUAAGUCCGCUGUGAAAGUCAACGGCUCAACUGUUGGAUGCCGGUGGAUACUGUCGGACUAGAGUUCGGAAGAGGCGAGUGGAAUUCCCGGUGUAGCGGUGAAAUGCGCAGAUAUCGGGAGGAACACCUAUGGCGAAGGCAGCUCGCUGGGACGGUACUGACGCUGAGACGCGAAAGCGUGGGGAGCGAACAGG
rnacentral:rRNA from 1 species